rnacentral:rRNA from 1 species
UCCUACGGGAGGCAGCAGUGGGGAAUAUUGGACAAUGGGCGCAAGCCUGAUCCAGCCAGCCGCGUGAGUGAAGAAGGCCUUAGGGUUGUAAAGCUCUUUCACCCGCGAAGAUGAUGACGGUAGCGGGAGAAGAAGCCCCGGCUAACUCCGUGCCAGCAGCCGCGGUAAUACGGAGGGGGCAAGCGUUGUUCGGAUUUACUGGGCGUAAAGGGCGCGUAGGCGGAUGUUCGCGUCAGAGGUGAAAGCCCCGGGCUCAACCUGGGAACUGCCUUUGAAACGGGACAUCUUGAGUUCGGAAGAGGGUAGCGGAAUUCCCAGUGUAGAGGUGAAAUUCGUAGAUAUUGGGAAGAACACCAGUAGCGAAGGCGGCUACCUGGUCCGACACUGACGCUGAGGCGCGAAAGCGUGGGGAGCAAACAGGAUUAGAUACCCUGGUAGUCCACGCCGUAAACGAUGUGCGCUAGCCGUUGGGAUGCUUGGCAUUUCGGUGGCGAANACGCAUUAAGCNCNC